rnacentral:tRNA from 1 species
GUUCCAUAGCGCAAUGGUAGCAGGAUGUAUUCGUACUCGAGAGAUCUUGGGUUCGAUCCCAGGGGAAGCCA